rnacentral:lncRNA from 1 species
CUUCAGUAAUUUUCUAAAUAUAAUAUCAGGCCAAUUUGUCCCACAAAAAGGGGGUCUUUUUGUUACCUCUAAAUCCUAUUUAUAAGAGGUCGAUUUUAAACUGGCCUAAGCAUAAACUUUAACAUGUAAACUGCAAAAGAUUGCAAGUUAUAAAACUAUGAUUUAAGGUUCAGGAUUAUUAAAAUCCCCAAGCACAUGUAUUGUCCAAAAGCUUAUUUAACUGCAUAUAAAAUACCCCUGGUUCUCCUUAAACUGAACUAACCCGGUUAUCACAAAUAUUUCAGUGUAAACUAAGGAAAUUUUCAAAGUCAAAAUUCCAUUACUGAGAGGCUGGUGAGGAGGGCAAUUGAGAUAUGCGUCCAUAACACAUUGUACCCUUCUUCCACAAUCAGAUUUCCAUGUUCAGUAACUUAUUUGUAAUUGUUUAAAAAAUACUGACUUCAUAAUGAACACUUGAAAGUACAAAGUUUCAAGUUUAUUUGAGUGACCAUAACAUCAUAGUAAACUAUUGUACAAAAAACC